AGGAUGAGGGCAGGUGUUGCUUGUUCUGUCUCUCAAGCCCAGAAGGAUGAAUUAAUCCUUGAAGAAAAAGAUACAGAAUUUGUUUCAAAUUCAGUGUCUCUGAUUCAGUGAGUCACAAGCUAAAAAAACAAGGAUAUCAGGAAGUGUUUGGACAGCAUCUAUGUGUCUGAGAAGGGAACCGUACAGCAAGCUGAUGAGUGA
rnacentral:lncRNA from 1 species